rnacentral:rRNA from 1 species
GACGAACGCUGGCGGCGUGCUUAACACAUGCAAGUCGAACGAUGAAGCCUAGCUUGCUAGGUGGAUUAGUGGCGAACGGGUGAGUAAUACGUGAGUAACCUACCUUUAACUCUGGGAUAAGCCUGGGAAACUGGGUCUAAUACCGGAUACGACCAAUCUCCGCAUGGGGUGUUGGUGGAAAGCGUUAUGUAGUGGUUAUAGAUGGGCUCACGGCCUAUCAGCUUGUUGGUGAGGUAACGGCUCACCAAGGCGACGACGGGUAGCCGGCCUGAGAGGGUGACCGGCCACACUGCGACUGAGACACGGCCCAGACUCCUACGGGAGGCAGCAGUGGCGAAUAUUGCACAAUGGGCGCAAGCCUGAUGCAGCGACGCCGCGUGAGGGAUGACGUCCUUCGGGUUGUAAACCUCUGUUCGCAGGGAACAAGCGAAAUUGACGGUACCUUCAGAGAAAGCGCCGGCUAACUACGUG